GGCUGAAAAACUGGGCUUGUGACAGUUAUUUCUUGUGCCUCUUCCCUGGAGUUCUAGAGCUCUCUUCCCACUACUCCACUGAUUCCACUCCUUUUGCUCUGUUUCUUUCAUAUUAAAAUUUAUUUUACAGCAAUCAAAAGUCACAAAAGGCACUUUGCAACAGUUGAGCCAGAGUGAGCCCCAGCAAGGGAGCUACUGAGGAUACCAACCCGCUGCCUGCAAAGGAAGGGCUCCUGGGAGGGCAGGGUCACCCAGAGAUAGCUGACCUUAGCUCUGGUCACAGCAAAUGAGUGCUUAAGUUUCUCUGCAUGCUGUAUUUUGCAUGUUUUUGUAUUGUUCCAUUUACAAAUAUCCAGCCCUCAGCUCACAGGCACCUGAACUCACUUCUUUGUUCCACCUCUUCCAGCAGGUCCUUCCUCACCCAAACUAUUUCAGGGUCUCUACACCUUGAGCUGACAGCCCUUUGCCCAAACUGUCUCUGCAGAUGACAGAAAGAUUCUGCUUCAGUGCCACAGACUCUUCCAGCCACCCCAUACAGAAACUACACUUUGUUGCGCAGCUGCCCUCAGCCACAGGGAGCCCAUAGCAAAAUAAAAUCUGUUCUCAACUCCUUAGUUGUUGUUUGGAGCUCUCGAGUUUGCUCAGGGAUGAGAUUAGGGUGCUGUAUCUGUGCCAGUCUCUGUGUUUUCUAGUAUUGGCAGUUACACUUGAAGCACUAACUGGUCUGGAAGUGCUUCCCCUUCUGCAUAAAGGGCUGACCAGAGCAGGUCAACAUAGCUCUGCAGUACACCAAUAUAUGUACCUCUGCUUUUGAGAUACUUUCAGGCUGGGAGGUGCUAGAAGAGUGCAGAAAGAAGAGGCUGCAACAAAAGGAGAGUGUAAUGACAUAAUAAAUGAGACUUCUACCCAGAAUUUCCAAACUCAAAAUGGCAGUAAUUCCAGUGGUGAAUGAAGAAAGAAAUCCAGCAUUUCCCACUGUUCGAAUAAGAUGUAAGAACUCCAAGUUCUAUAAAUUAUAUAUAUAUAUAAAAAUCUCUUUACACAAUUAACCAUUGAGUCACAAAGGAUUGUUUAUGCUAAUGUUUUGUUUCUUAGUUUAGAAAUAACAACAGACAGAAAACAAAUUAAACUCCUAAAAUUCUUGCAGCUUCAUAAUCAAC
rnacentral:lncRNA from 1 species